rnacentral:rRNA from 1 species
UUUAGACUGGGAUAACAGAGGGAAACUUCUGAUAAUACUGGAUAAGUUAGUAUAUCGCAUGAUAUGCAAAUGAAAGCUACGGCACUAAAGGAGAGCUUUGCGUCCUAUUAGCUAGUUGGUAAGGUAAGAGCUUACCAAGGCGAUGAUAGGUAGCCGGCCUGAGAGGGUGGACGGCCACAAGGGGACUGAGAUACGGCCCUUACUCCUACGGGAGGCAGCAGCA